GAUGAACGCUGGCGGCGUGCCUAACACAUGCAAGUCGAACGGAGAUUACGGACGGAAGUUUUCGGAUGGAAGACUGUAAUUCUUAGUGGCGGACGGGUGAGUAACGCGUGGGCAACCUGCCCUAUACAGGGGGAUAGCAGCUGGAAACGGCUGGUAAGACCGCAUAAGUCGGUUAAAUCGCAUGAUUUGAUCGGGAAAUGAGCAAUCAGGUAUAGGAUGGGCCCGCGUCCGAUUAGCCAGUUGGCAGGGUAAAAGCCUACCAAAGCGACGAUCGGUAGCCGGACUGAGAGGGCGGACGGCCACAUUGGGACUGAGACACGGCCCAAACUCCUACGGGAAGCAGCAGUGGGGGAUAUUGCACAAUGGAGGAAACUCUGAUGCAGCGACGCCGCGUGAGUGAAGAAGUAUUUCGGUAUGUAAAGCUCUAUCAGCAGGGAAGAUGAUGACGGUACCUGACUAAGAAGCCCCGGCUAACUACGUG
rnacentral:rRNA from 1 species